GCAUAUCAAUAAGCGGAGGAAAAGAAACCAACAGGGAUUACCUUAGUAACGGCGAGUGAAGCGGUAAAAGCUCAAAUUUGAAAUCUAGCGUCUUUGGCGUUCGAGUUGUAAUUUGAAGAUGGUAAUCUUGGAUAUAGUCUUCGGCUAUGUUCCUUGGAACAGGACGUCACAGAGGGUGAGAAUCCCGUGUGCUGAGGUGCCUAUAUCCAUGUAAGAUGCUAUCGAAGAGUCGAGUUGUUUGGGAAUGCAGCUCUAAGUGGGUGGUAAAUUCCAUCUAAAGCUAAAUAUUGGCGAGAGACCGAUAGCGAACAAGUACAGUGAUGGAAAGAUGAAAAGAACUUUGAAAAGAGAGUGAAAAAGUACGUGAAAUUGUUGAAAGGGAAGGGCAUGAGGUCAGACUUGGUAUUAAGCGAUCAUUUCCUCUCGGGGUUGUGCUCUCGCUUUUUACUGGGCCAGCAUCAGUUUGGACGGUAAGAUAAUGACAUUGGAAUGUGGCUUUCUUCGGGAAGUGUUAUAGCCCUUGUUGAUGUUACCAGUCUGGACUGAGGACCGCGCAUUAUUGCUAGGAUGCUGGCGUAAUGGCCUUAUGCCGCCCGUCUUGAAACACGGACCAAGGAGUCUAACGUCUAUGCAAGUGUUUGGGUGUAAAACCCGUACGCGUAAUGAAAGUGAACGUAGGUCUGAGCCUUCGGGUGCAAGAUCGACCGAUCCUGAUGUCUUCGGAUGGAUUUGAGUAAGAGCAUAGCUGUUGGGACCCGAAAGAUGGUGAACUAUGCCUGAAUAGGGUGAAGCCAGAGGAAACUCUGGUGGAGGCUCGUAGCGGUUCUGACGUGCAAAUCGAUCGUCGAAUUUGGGUAUAGGGGCGAAAGACUAAUCGAACCAUCUAGUAGUGGUCU
rnacentral:rRNA from 1 species